rnacentral:tRNA from 1 species
GAGGAUGUAGCUCAGUCUGGUCUAGAGCGUCUGUUUGUCGAACAGAAAGUCGCGAGUUCAAAUCUCGUCAUCCUCGCC